UACGGAGGGUGCUAGCGUUGUUCGGAAUCACUGGGCGUAAAGGGCGUGUAGGCGGUCUGUUAAGUCUGAUGUGAAAUCCCCUCGCUCAACGAGGGAACUGCGUCGGAUACUGGCAGACUCGAGUACCGGAGAGGAGGUGGAAUUCCCGGUGUAGCGGUGAAAUGCGUAGAUAUCGGAGGAACACCGGUGGCGAAGGCGGCCUUCUGGACGGAUACUGACG
rnacentral:rRNA from 1 species